rnacentral:misc_RNA from 1 species
GAUGAAGAACGUAGCGAAAUGCGAUACUUGGUGUGAAUUGCAGAAUCCCGUGAACCAUCGAGUCUUUGAACGCAAGUUGCGCCCGAAGCCAUCAGGUUGAGGGCACGUCUGCCUGGGCGUCACAUAUCGUUGCUCGAUGCCUAUCGCAUUGCGAUAGGACUUAGGGCGAAUGAUGGCUUCCCGUGAGCGUUGUUGCCUCGCGGUUGGUUGAAAAUCGAGUCCUUGGUAGGGUGUGCCAUGAUAGAUGGUGGUCGAGUUAGCACGAGACCGUUCAUGUGCAUGCUCCCCAAAAUAUGGCCUCUGUGACCCACACGCGUCUUUUGACGCUCAUGACGAGACCUCAGGUCAGGCGGGGCUACCCGCUGAAUUUAAGCAUAUCAAUAAGCGGAGGA